UCCCUGGCAGUCUAGUGGUCAAGACUCUACACUUCCACUGUGGGGGAUACAGGUUCAAUCCCUGGCUGGAGAA
rnacentral:tRNA from 1 species